rnacentral:rRNA from 1 species
AGUGAACGCUGGCGGUAGGCCUAACACAUGCAAGUCGAACGGCAGCACAGUAAGAGCUUGCUCUUACGGGUGGCGAGUGGCGGACGGGUGAGGAAUACAUCGGAAUCUACUUUUUCGUGGGGGAUAACGUAGGGAAUCUUACGCUAAUACCGCAUACGACCUACGGGUGAAAGCAGGGGAUCUUCGGACCUUGCGCGAUUGAAUGAGCCGAUGUCGGAUUAGCUAGUUGGCGGGGUAAAGGCCCACCAAGGCGACGAUCCGUAGCUGGUCUGAGAGGAUGAUCAGCCACACUGGAACUGAGACACGGUCCAGACUCCUACGGGAGGCAGCAGUGGGGAAUAUUGGACAAUGGGCGCAAGCCUGAUCCAGCAAUACCGCGUGGGUGAAGAAGGCCUUCGGGUUGUAAAGCCCUUUUGUUGGGAAAGAAAAGCAGCAGGUUAAUACCCCGCUGUUCUGACGGUACCCAAAGAAUAAGCACCGGCUAACUUCGUG